UCCGCCAUAGUAUAGUGGUUAGAACACCCGGCUCUCACCCGGGAGACCCGGGUUCAAUUCCCGGUGGCGGAA